rnacentral:rRNA from 1 species
UACGUAGGGGGCUAGCGUUGUCCGGAAUCAUUGGGCGUAAAGCGCGUGUAGGCGGUCCGGUAAGUCCGCUGUGAAAGUCGGGGGCUCAACCCCUCGGAUGCCGGUGGAUACUGUCGGGCUUGAGUACGGAAGAGGCGAGUGGAAUUCCUGGUGUAGCGGUGAAAUGCGCAGAUAUCAGGAGGAACACCAAUUGCGAAGGCAGCUCGCUGGGACGUUACUGACGCUGAGACGCGAAAGCGUGGGGAGCAAACAGG